UACGUAGGGGGCAAGCGUUGUCCGGAAUCAUUGGGCGUAAAGGGCGCGUAGGCGGCCAUGCGUGUCUUCCGUGAAAUCCCUCGGCUUAACUGAGGACGUGCGGAAGAAACUGCAAGGCUCGAGUCCGGGAGAGGGGGGUGGAAUUCCCAGUGUAGCGGUGAAAUGCGUAGAUAUUGGGAGGAACACCGGUGGCGAAGGCGGCCCCCUGGACCGGUACUGACGCUGAGGCGCGAAAGCGUGGGUAGCAAACGGG
rnacentral:rRNA from 1 species